GCCUACACGACCGUACCGCAAACCGACACUGGUGCGCGAGAUGAGUAUUCUAAGGCGCUUGAGAGAACUCAGGAGAAGGAACUCGGCAAAUUGACACCGUAACUUCGGAAGAAGGUGUGCCUUUAGUAGGUGAACCUGUACAAGGGGAGCCCAAUGAGGUUGCAAAAAAUCGGUGGCUGCGACUGUUUAAUAAAAACACAGCACUCUGCAAACACGAAAGUGGACGUAUAGGGUGUGACGCCUGCCCGGUGCUGGAAGAUUAAAUGAUGGGGUGCAAGCUCUUGAUUGAAGUCCCAGUAAACGGCGGCCGUAACGAUAACGGUCCUAAGGUAGCGAAAUUCCUUGUCGGGUAAGUUCCGACCUGCACGAAUGGCGUAACGAUGGCCACACUGUCUCCUCCUGAGACUCAGCGAAGUUGAAAUGUUUGUGAUGAUGCAAUCUCCCCGCGGAAAGACGGAAAGACCCCAUGAACCUUUACUGUAGCUUUGUAUUGGACUUUGAACAGAUCUGUGUAGGAUAGGUGGGAGGCUUUGAAGUGUGGUCGCUAGAUCGCAUGGAGCCAACGUUGAAAUACCACCCUGGUGUGUUUGAGGUUCUAACCUAGGCCCGUAAUCCGGGUCGGGGACAGUGCAUGGUAGGCAGUUUGACUGGGGCGGUCUCCUCCCAAAGCGUAACGGAGGAGUUCGAAGGUACGCUAGGUACGGUCGGACAUCGUGCUAAUAGUGCAAUGGCAUAAGCGUGCUUAACUGCGAGACUGACAAGUCGAGCAGAUGCGAAAGCAGGACAUAGUGAUCCGGUGGUUCUGUAUGGAAGGGCCAUCGCUCAACGGAUAAAAGGUACUCUGGGGAUAACAGGCUGAUACCGCCCAAGAGUUCAUAUCGACGGCGGUGUUUGGCACCUCGAUGUCGGCUCAUCUCAUCCUGGGGCUGUAGCCGGUCCCAAGGGUAUGGCUGUUCGCCAUUUAAAGAGGUACGUGAGCUGGGUUUAAAACGUCGUGAGACAGUUUGGUCCCUAUCUUCCGUGGGCGCUGCAGAUUUGAGGAAGCCUGCUCCUAGUACGAGAGGACCGGAGUGGACACACCUCUGGUGUAUCGGUUGUCACGCCAGUGGCAUUGCCGAGUAGCUAUGUGUGGAAGAGAUAACCGCUGAAAGCAUCUAAGCGGGAAGCUCGUUUCAAGAUGAGAUCUGCCGGGGCCUUGAGCCCCCUAAAGAGUCGUUCGAGACCAGGACGUUGAUAGGUCGGGUGUGGAAGCGCAGUAAUGCGUUAAGCUAACCGAUACUAAUUGCUCGUGCGGCUUGACC
rnacentral:rRNA from 1 species